rnacentral:rRNA from 1 species
GACAGAGGGUGCAACCGUUGCUCGGAAUCACUGGGCGUAAAGGGCGUGUAGGCGGGCAGAUAAGUCGGGCGUGAAAUCCCCAGGCUCAACCUGGGAACUGCACUCGAAACUGUUUGUCUUGAGUAUCGGAGAGGAAAGCGGAAUACCUGGUGUAGAGGUGAAAUUCGUAGAUAUUGGGAAGAACACCGGUGGCGAAGGCGGCCAUCUGGACCGCAACUGACGCUGAGGCGCGAAAGCGUGGGGAGCAAACAGG